rnacentral:tRNA from 3 species
GCGGCCUUGGUGUAGAGGUAACACAGCAGAUUGUGGUUCUGCUUUCAGGGGUUCAAUUCCCCUAGGCCGCCCCA